CCUACGGGUGGCAGCAGUGGGGAAUAUUGGGCAAUGGGCGCAAGCCUGACCCAGCAACGCCGCGUGAAGGAUGAAGGCUUUCGGGUUGUAAACUUCUUUUAUCAGGGACGAAACAAAUGACGGUACCUGAUGAAUAAGCCACGGCUAACUACGUGCCAGCAGCCGCGGUAAUACGUAGGUGGCAAGCGUUAUCCGGAUUUACUGGGUGUAAAGGGCGUGUAGGCGGGACUGCAAGUCAGAUGUGAAAACUAUGGGCUCAACCCAUAGCCUGCAUUUGAAACUGUAGUUCUUGAGUGCUGGAGAGGCAAUCGGAAUUCCGUGUGUAGCGGUGAAAUGCAUAGAUAUACGGAGGAACACCAGUGGCGAAGGCGGAGUGCUGGACAGUAACUGACGCUGAGGCGCGAAAGCGUGGGGAGCAAACAGGAUUAGAUACCCGUGUAGUC
rnacentral:rRNA from 1 species